rnacentral:rRNA from 1 species
CCGUGCUUUCUUUUUCACCGGAGCUUGCUCCACCGGGAAAAGAGGAGUGGCGAACGGGUGAGUAACACGUGGGUAACCUGCCCAUCAGAAGGGGAUAACACUUGGAAACAGGUGCUAAUACCGUAUAACAAUCGAAACCGCAUGGUUUCGUUUUGAAAGGCGCUUUACGGUGCCGCUGAUGGAUGGACCCGCGGUGCAUUAGCUAGUUGGUGAGGUAACGGCUCACCAAGGCCACGAUGCAUAGCCGACCUGAGAGGGUGAUCGGCCACAUUGGGACUGAGACACGGCCCAAACUCCUACGGGAGGCAGCAGUAGGGAAUCUUCGGCAAUGGACGAAAGUCUGACCGAGCAACGCCGCGUGAGUGAAGAAGGUUUUCGGAUCGUAAAACUCUGUUGUUAGAGAAGAACAAGGGUGAGAGUAACUGUUCACCCCUUGACGGUAUCUAACCAGAAAGCCACGGCUAACUACGUGCCAGCAGCCGCGGUAAUACGUAGGUGGCAAGCGUUGUCCGGAUUUAUUGGGCGUAAAGCGAGCGCAGGCGGUUUCUUAAGUCUGAUGUGAAAGCCCCCGGCUCAACCGGGGAGGGUCAUUGGAAACUGGGAGACUUGAGUGCAGAAGAGGAGAGUGGAAUUCCAUGUGUAGCGGUGAAGGG